CAAACUUUUGGAGGUGUGUUAGCAAACUUCCAGGAAAUAUGAUCAAAUCCAUUGUAGUAUCUACUACCUGCUAUAUCAUCCACAGGAACCGCUGCAGAAAUUUCUCUCAGGUCCUCUUCUGAUAGUUUCACUGCUAAGGCACCAAGGUUUUGAUCCAGAUUCUUAAUCUUCGUUGUUCCUGAGAAAAAAGAAGUCCCCAAUAUUUUCAAGAAUAAAAAAACUGAAAAUAAAAACUUAAAUAAACACUUAGAUGCAUGACUUGUAUAGUGCAUUAUCAGCGCUUAAAAAAGAAUGCAUGACUUGUAUAGUGCAUUAUCAGCACUUAAAAAUUUAGAAGAACCUUCAAUAACCCCAAAUACAUCAGAUAACACUCAUAAUAUAUGAAAUUUAAGGCCACAUAAUGCCAAUAUGUAGCAAACGAAAGUUGUUGAAUAAAUAAGCGAGGAGAUGCUCAAGUGUAUUGAACCCUCCAAAGACUGCAUGGUUAAGGGGUAAACUUGUAAAGUUGUAAUCUAAACCGCACUAGUUAAACAUUGCAUUAUACUCUAUAAUCUUAAGUAUUACAUAAUCGAAAAAUUACAGCAGUCACUUUGCUGUCGGAGACGUAGGAACAAUUGACCAGAUUACGUGAUAAAUCAUUUAUGUUCUUCUGUGCAUUUAUUUAUUUGUUUUCUUUAGAGUUAAGUUUUCUUUUUUAACAAGUGUAUACAUAGUUUUUUGGUGUAAAGACAAGAGUGUACAUAGUUCUACUCUUGAUUGAUCAGUGCACAACGAUAGAAGUAUACAGAGCAUACUAAUUUGUUCAGGCUUCAGAUUAACAAAUAAGACGAAAUCUCAUAUUUCUGAUACUGUUAGGAUACCAGCUAAGAGUAGCUAGCAUCAAAGGUUUUUGCAAUAAUACUAUUUUCGAAAAAAAUAUGCAUAUUUUUCACUUACCGGGAAUAGGCACAACAUCCUUUCCUUGUUGGAGUACCCAUGCUAAUGCUAACUGAGCAGGAGUGCACCCAUGCUUUUUGCCAAGACUUUCGAUCUUAUCAUAUAUGUUUUUGUUCUUGUUCAAGUUCUCAGCUUGGAAGCGGGGAUGAGAAGUCUGAUAAGCGAAAUAUUUAUCAGAAAAUAACAUACACUUUUAAAAAAGGAAAGGGCAUUAAUUUUAUAAAAGACUUUGCAUCAUUUAUGUGAGAAAAAAACAGAUAAGGAUGAUAUUCCCUGUAUCAUUACUCUAGUUUAAAAAAGCAUGCAUUUGUUUGUUUACAAAAUAAGACAACAAACCAACCAAUAUUUAAUACAUGAUUAAGAUUUGAUCAAUUACAUAAAUUAGCAUGUCUUAGUAAUAGUUCAAUUCCAUGGAAAGCAACGGAAACAGACAUAUAAUUUAAGUUCUGAAAUGCUACUAUACCAGGGAGCUAACAGCAGGCACAUUUUCCGUAACCCCUUUGCCACCAAAGAAACCACGACCAAGAGGACUAUAUGGUACAAUUCCAAUACCAAGCUCUCUGUAUCAACAAAAGCUUUAAAUUAGUGAAGUCACAUUUAACACAAACAAGCAACCAGGAGCAAAUGGUUCCUAUUCCUUAACCCUCUUUUCAAGUAACACUUAACCAAUGAACUUGGAGAGGAACUCAAACUAACCUGCAGAGAGGAACUAUCUCCUCCUCAAUGUCGCGAGUCCAAAGAGACCACUCUAUUUGUACAGCAGUGAUGGGAUGAACAGCAUGCGCUCUCCUUAUUGUAUCAGGGCUGGCUUCAGAUAGUCCAAUAUACUUAACUUUUCCCUCUUCCACCAGUUUCUUAAGUUCACCUACCUAUAACACAACAAACUUGUUAACAACACAUCUAGUGAAAUAAGCCAAAUAAUCUUCAAAUUUGAAUUGUCAAUAACUCAACCCUAGAAAACCAGCUUAUCAAGGUAUGGGAGUCUCCCAUUUAUAAUUUGGGACUCUCAACAAAUAAUGUAAGCAUAUAUACGUAACGCGUAGUCGAGUACUAGGAAGAAAUAUCCUUAACUGUAUCCUCAAUAGACACAGAAGUAUCAAUUCUGUGCUGAUAAUAGAGAUCAAUGUAUUCAACAUCGAGACGUUUCAAGCUAGCUUCACAACACGAGCGCACGUACUCAGGUGAACCCUUGAUGGUCACAUCAGCGAGACGAGAAACGUCUCUUCUAGAUAUACCAAAUUUUGUAGCCAACUGGAUCUUUUCUCUGGGCAAUUGCUUUAAUGCCUAGUCAACAAAAUCAAAUUAGCAUAAUAAAGUUUGAAUUGAAUUGAAACAUGAUUAAAUUACCUUUCCAAGUAAAAUUUCAUUAGCACCACUACCUCCAUAGAUAUCAGCAGUAUCAAAAAAAGUAACGCCUUUACUGAAAGCAUAGUUAAUUACGGAAAUACCAUCUUGUUCAGGAAGAGGAUCAUUGUAAGCUCCAGUGAGUCCCAUACACCCGAAACCCAAUUUUGAAACCUGAAAGCCUUGGGUUCCAAGUGGGACCUGAGGAGGAGGAAUUAAUUCAGUUUGUGUUGUGGCCAUUUUGGUUGAAUUGAUGAAUAAUUACAAACUCCUAAUUGCAUUGCACGGACUAUAUAUAUAUAUACGAAGAGCGCAUCCUACUCAUUACGCUUUCUUCGAUUUGUGAGAUAUCGUCACUCGGUAUGUCAGCGGGUGGGUAUAAUUCAUCACUCAGUAUGUCACUAUAUAUAUUUUUUGGCUUGGAAAAGGAAGGAUGACGCCAAAAAAAAAAUAAAAUGUAGCAUGUAUUUUGACUAAAUUUUAAAUCAAAUUUUGCUAAUAUUUUGUAGGCCAAUUAAUUAUUUUUCAUGGUUUUACGAGGUCAGUUAUUUAAUAAAAGAUGAAGAGAAUGAUUUUGAGUGAGAUAGUACUUAUCAUUAACUGAAUGUGCUCUGCUCUAUUCCACUUCCUAUUAAUUAUGCAAUCGUCCUCGUUGAUCACUAAGAAAGAAGUAAUUCAUUCUUUCAACAGUUUAGAUUUUUGGUCACAUGCUGGGUGCGAGUAAAAUAAAUAUUUUGAUCCAAACAAAACACCAAUUUGUUUGUUUUAAUUUUUUAUUUCUAUUAAUUCUUUGAAUUUUUACAUUUCACUCACAUUGCCUCAAAAAAACCAUUUCAUUCACAUUCAUCUAACAUGGAAUCCUAUGAGAAUUUGAUUCAAAUCCCUUAUUAUUAUUUAUGGAAUGAAAACAGCAGAACAAAUGCAAAAGCUCAGUCUUGAUUUUCUCAUCAAGCAUGUCAUAAUUGAGGCAACUACAAAUAUAGAAAUGAUCGCUGUGUUUGCGCCUUAUUCAUGAUCGAGUGCAUUCUCCAACUAAAAGAGAUUUUACUUCAUGUUGAGACCGUUGAAACUUUUGGAGGUGUGUUAGCAAACUUCCAGGAUAAACUAUCCAUUCCAUUGUAGUAUCUACUACCUGCUAUAUCAUCUUCAGGAACUGCAGCAGAAAUUUCCCGCAUGUCCUCUUCUGAUAGUUUCACUGCUAAUGCACCAAGGUUUUGAUCCAGAUUCUCAAUCUUGGUUGUUCCUGAGAACAAAAGAAGUCCAUAAUAUUUUCAAGAAUAAAAAAAAGCUGAAAAUAAAACUAGGUGGAAAGCAUAACAUGCAUGGCUUCUAUAGUACAUUAUCAGCACUUAAAAAUUUAGAAGAACCUUUGGUUAGUAACCUGAGUACAUCAGAUGACACUCUUAAUAUAUGAAAUGCAAGGAAAGUUGUUGAAUAUGACUCAUAUUCACCAAUAAGGGGUAAACUUGUAAUCUGAACCGUACGAUUUAUAACGUUACAUUGUACUCUAUAAUCUGAAGUAUUGCAUAAUCGAAAAACUACAACAAUCACUCUGUUGUCGGAGACGUAGGACCAAUUAACCAAACUAUGUGAUAAAUUGUUUAUGUUCUUGUGUGCAUUUAUUUGUUUUUAUUAUAGUUAGGUUUUCGUAUCUAACAAAAGUGUAUUUUUUGGUGUAAAUACGAGUGUACAUAGUUCUUUUCUUAAUUGAUCAGUACACAACGAUAGAAGAAGUAUAUGGUGCAUUCUUAAUUGUUAGGAUACAUGGUUCUUCUCUUAAUUGUUCAGAUUCACAAAUAAGAGGAAUACUCAUAUUUCUGAUACUGUUAGGAUACCAGUUAAGAGCCUACCAUCAAAGAUUUUUAUGAGAAUACUGUUUUCGAAAAAUUGUGCAUAUUUUGUCACUCACCAGGAAUAGGCACAACAUCCUUGCCUUGUUGGAGUACCCAUGCUAAUGCUAAUUGAGCAGUAGUGCAUCCAUGCCUCUUGCUAAGACUUUCAAUCCUAUCAUAUAUAACCUUGUUCUUGACCAAGUUCUCAGCUUGGAAGCGGGGAAAAGAAGUCUGAUAAGUGAAAUAAUCAUCAGAAAACAACAUAAAUUUUUUAAAAAGGAAAGGUCCUUAAUUUUAUAGAAGACUUUAAACAUCAUUCAUGUGAGAAAAAACAGAUAAGGAUGAUAUCCCCUGUAUCAUUACUCAAGUUUAAAAAAGCAAGCAUUUGUUUGUUUACAAAAUAAGACAACAAAGCAAUCAAUAUUUAAUUCAUGAUUAAGAUUUGAUCAAUGCUAUUGCAUAAUUGGCAUGUCUUAAUAGUAAUUCUAUGGCAAGCAAGAGAAACACACUUUCAAUUCAACUACUAAAAUGCUAUACCAUGAAGCUCGGCACAUCUUCGAUAACUCCUUUGCCAGCAAAAAAACCUUUACCAAGUGGACUAUAUGGUACAAUUCCAAUACCAAGCUCUCUAUAUCAACAAAAGCUUGAAAUAAGUAAAAUCUCAUUAACACAAACAUGCAAUUCAAUACAGCAAAGAGCAAUCGGUUCCACUGAAUAACUCGUAAUUAGUGAAAGUUGUUCGAAUUAUUAUUUAAUGAACAAACAAUCAUGAGUGUUGUAAUCUUAUCAUGUGAACUUGGAGAGGAACUCAAACUAACCUGCAGAGAGGAACUAUCUCGUUCUCAAUGUCGCGAGUCCAGAGAGACCACUCUAUUUGUAAAGCUGUGAUAGGAUGAACAGCAUGUGCUCUCCUUAUUGUAUCGGGGCUGGCUUCAGAUAGUCCAAUAUAUUUAACUUUUCCCUCUUCCACCAGUUUCUUAAGUUCACCUACCUAUAGCACAACAAACUUGUUAACAACACAUCUAGUGAAAUAAGCCAAAUAAUCUUCAAAUUUGAAUUGUCAAUAACUCAACCCUACAAGACCAGUUUAUAAAGGUAGGGGUGUCUCCCAUUUAUAAUUUGAGACUCUCAACAAAUAAUCUAACCAUAUCAACAUGUAUAUGUAACUUGUUGCCGUGUACUAUGCUCAAAUCAAAUACUAGUUUUACAUAGGAAGAAAUAUCCUUAACUGUAUCCUCAAUAGGCACGGUUGUAUCGACUCUGUGCUGAUAAUAGAGAUCAAUGUAUUCAACAUUGAGACGUUUCAAGCUAGCUUCGCAGCUUGAACGCACAUACUCCGGUGAACCUUUGAUGCCCAUACCACCGCCACUUCUGGAUAUACCAAAUUUUGUAGCCACCUGGAUCUUUUCUCUGGGCAGUUGCUUUAAAGCCUAGUCAACAAAAUCAAAUAAUGAAAAGAAAGAAAAAAAAAAGCUCAAAUUGGCAUAAGUUUCAAUUGCGGUAUUAAAUUUAGAACAUAAAAGAAAUUCUUGGCAUUUUUUUUAAUGAUAAAUGUUACUAGUUAGUUAGUUGUGAGAUUACUAUUUACUCGUCUGUCCAGAUUUAAACCCAGGACCUCUUGGCAAAGUACCAAUUCUUGUAGUUAUUAUUAAUAUGUAUAUACCUUUCCAACCAAAAUUUCAUUCCCACCAUCGAGUCCAUAAACAUCAGCGGUGUCAAAAAAAGUGAUGCCUUUACUGAAUGCAUGAUUAAUUACGGAAAUGCCAAUUUCUUCAGGAAGAGGAUCAUUGUAUCCUCCACUGAGGGCCAUACACCCUAAACCGAACUUUGAAACCUAAAAUAAAAACAAUAAUAUUAAUAGGUAGUAGUAGUAAAUUAGUAUAGUAUAGUAUAGAGAGAAGAAUAUAAAUGACAUUUGUAUAUGUAAGUGUAAGUGUACAAGUGAGUGAAGUGAUGAUACCUGAAAGCCUUGGGUUCCAAGUGAGACAUGAGGAAUUAGUUCAGUUUGUGUUUGUGUUUGUGUUGCGGCCAUUUUGGUUGUUCAAUAGUAAUUGCUUCAGUUCCAAUUUGCAUUUUGCAGUGAUAUAUACGAAUGCGCAUCGUGGCACACGCUUUCCUCGCUUUGUGAUGUCGUACCAUUCUAUGUGUUAUGUUCCAUCAUUGAAUAUGUUUCUUUUUCUCUUCCAUACUGGUCAACUAUGAUUGACUUGGAAAAACACAACUUUGGGUGGGUUUUUAUCAUAUAAUCCAUCAUUCAAAAUUUUGAAUUAUUUUUUGCCCUCAUGAUUAAUAAAUAUUUCUUCCGUCUGUCUCAUGUUAACCGAACAUUUUGUUCAUUGAAAUUUUUUUGUGUAGAAACGAACUUAACUAUCAUUCUUACAAACAACAAAUUACAUGACACAUCAUUUUUUUUCUUUUAACCAUGAUUGAUGGUGGUGAAUACUAACUGCAAAUAAUGGUUGAGAGAGAGGAGGAGCAAUUAUUUUUCAUUUCUUAAAUUAUUUCCAAAUAACGGGCAAGCAAACCAAUUAUGAACCCCUAACUCAUGAACAACGUUAGCUGCCUUCAGCCACCAGAAAGAAUGGUUCUGAACCUGUACGAACAACUGGUAAAUAGUAUUUUAUGUAUUGUUGAACUGCCUGUUAUUACGCUCAGUCCACAACACCCACACACAAGCCAACCAUAACAAUUGCAUAAAAGAACGUUUUUUAACCGCAUAACCUAACAGAUAAGAAAACUGAACAAAGUGGUCAGCAACAUCAAAAGGGUCGGAAGGUAGGACAUUGUUCCGUUGAGAGUGCAACUCCUAAAUAACCAAUUGCAAAAACUUGCUCACUCACAUCAACAUGCAUGAGCUUGUUUCAAUCAUCAUAAAAUCCACAAAGUAUGCCACAGCAUCCAACAGAGGCAUACACUCAAGGGAAUGCCAAAUACAAGAUUUUUUUACUAUUUCAAUACAAACUCAGUAACAAACAUCGUCCAACAGUAAAAACAACUAAGAUAAAUCAAAAGCCUUCCAUUAAAGUAGUUUAUGACAAUAAGAAUAAAAGCUUUCUUUCAAGCUCACUUUAUUCAAAAUAAUUUCUUUACGUUGGAAAAUUGAAAACAAAAAAAUCCAAGUAUCUUUAAAAUUAACAACCAUAUCCCUUGACAAACAUUGCCUUCUUAGCUUCAUCGUAUCCAAGCAUAGAUAACACAUUACUAACAGAGAUUAGUGUUAUUUCCAAGCUGAGCCAAAGAACUAGCUUCCAAGCAUAACAUAUUGGGAUUUAGUUGCUUCAACUUUUUGUAGUCCACCUGUCAAAUUAAAAACAAGAGAUAAAUUAUUUUAUGGUCCUCAAUUUUAAACUCUAAAGUAAAUGCAAUCUUAAAUAGAAACCAUAAAUAGUAUCAUCGCGGUUUUUUUUUUCUUUCAAAAACAGUAUCAUCAUGUUAUGGCUGAUUAUUCUAAUGAAUUCACAUGAUAUUUAUAGCAUUGCAGCCGUACAAGCAUAACAUUGGCUAAACAAGGACACAACGUUCGGAAUCACUAGUCAAACAGAUCAAUCCGUUGCAGGUACCAACUAUACGAGAGCAUUCUUUAUCGUUCAAAGAAUAGUAAAGAUUGAGGUGCAGUUUCACGAAGGCAGGAUCGGAAAUUAGGGUUUUCCAAGACUUACUUACACAACUGAAUCGAAUAAGAAAUUCAACGGGAAGAAAGGAAGCAGCUCUGUGAUGAGAUCAUUGGAGAGAGCCACCGUAGCCGUCGGAGUCAUAGACAUUGUUGAUUAUGGCUGUGUUUGGUAACAUAAAUAAGCUAGUUAGAUUAGCUUAUAAGCUCGUUGGAUGAAAACGUGACGUGUUUGGUAACAAGCUUUUCUCAUGAACUUAUAUCGUUUUUUGAAAAGCUAAUUCAAGUAGCUUUUUAGCUUAUAACUGGUAGCUUUUUAUAUUUUCUUCCAUUUUUUACCUUUAUAUCAUUUUUAUUUUAGAAAACUACCCACUCAAAAAAGGACAAUCUUUAAUGUAUACACUUUCUUCCAUACACACAUUGUACCACCCCCAUGUGAGAGUGUGUAAGAGACAAUAAAUGUAAGUUUUUUUGUGUGUGGGAACCAUAUGGACACAUGUCACAAUUGUAUUGGGUGUACAAAUGGUACAUGCCACCUAAGGUGGUCUAUGUAUCAUUACUCCUAAAAAAAACAUAACUACCCACGUUGUGUUUAUUUUUAUUUUUUUUACAGUUGCGUUUUCACUUUUUUUUUCUUUCUAUUUGAUUUUUUUUAAUGUUCCUUAUGUUUUGAGGUUUGUAUUUUUUUAUAUGGUCUCAUUCAAUUUUUUUUUUUUUUUGUAAUAAUAAACAAAAUUUAUUAAAUAUAAUAUCAAUUAAAUUCACAUAUCAUGUAACAGCCCGAUUUUUCGCUAGAUUUAUUUUUAAUUAAUUAUUAUGUGAUUAUUUGUACUUGUGUGUAUUUAAUUGUCAUUGGGUGCAUUUUCAUGGAUUACCGUAUUAGAAGAGUAUUUUGGUCAUUUGGUGGGUAAGGGUAAAAUGGUAAUUUUGGUGAGAAUUAUUUUUAAUGUUUAGUGAGAACCAUUAUUUUACUAAGUUACUAGUGUAGUGAUUAGUUUUUACCGUUUAGUGACCGUUUGUUAUAUUUUACCGUUGUUAGUAAUUACCGUUGAAUGUAUAGAAACUUUUUAGAAUUAUGUUAGAAUGGGUUAAGCCCAUUAGGGUCUAGAAUUGAGCCCAAUUGAGUGGGAACACACCUAAACCUAAACUUGGAGAGAAAUUCAUUCAUUCUUUUCAUUUCACAAAGUUAGAGAGAGGUAGAGAGAGAGAAAAUUGGGAGAAAGGAAGAACAAAGGGUUAGAGAAAGGGGGAAACUUGAAGAUUGAAGAAUUAGGAGGUAAAGUGAAGCCUAAGUUUGGAUUAAUCAUUAUCUAAGGUAAGGGGGUUAGUCUUCAUCAUAAUCAUAUUCAUUUAUUGCAAUUUCUCAUUUGUUGUAUGAAUAUGGGUUGAAUUGAAUAAAUGGAUAAUUGUUGCUAAAUUCGUGCUCUAACUGUGAUGUUAUGUUUGUAUGCAUGAAUUGAUGAUAAUUGUAUGAUUGUUAGUGAAAUUACAUGUUCAAAUAUGUAAAAAUGAUAAGUUGUGAAAAUUGUGUUCAAUUGGUGAAUUUUGCUAAGUUGUUGUUGAAUUGAGUUAUGAUUCUUGUUCAAUUGAUGUUAUCGCUCUUAAUUGAUGUUUUUGUUGAUGAAUCAUUGCUUGGGUAUGCAUAUUCAUGAAUUGAUGAUGAUAAUUUGAAUUGUUGUUGGUGUUUUAUGUAAAUGAGUUGAUUUGGUGAAUUGGCUAAAAGUGAGAUUGAUUUUCAUGUUCAAUGUGUUUUUGAGUAUCCUUGUGAGUUAUUUGACCUAUAAACAUCAUUUGGGAACACCUUUGGGCAAUGAGGGAUCAAAAUUGGGAGUUUUGGGUGAAAAAGGGGUGGAACCCGUAACAUUUUUCUGCAGAAAUUUUGAAUGGUCGCUUAAGCGACGCUGCAAAGUGCUGUCUGAUGACUGCACGCUUAAGCGUUCUGUAAGCGAGCUCGUAAGCGUGUAGUUACAGUAGCUACUGGAAUUUGGACGCUUAAGCGAGCAGUUCUUUUUCCAGCACUUUUGAAAUUUUGUUUUGAGCUUCCUAGGGCCAAUCCGAACUUCUUAAAACACUUCUUUUAACUUGUAUAAUCAUUAGUCUCAUACUUAAUCCUAUUGGAACAACUCCUUGAAUGAAAUUUGGACUUGGUUUGUGAAAUCAAAACUUAACUUUUGAAAAUUGCUCAAGAACGUUGACUUUUCCGGAAAAUGGGAUCUUCAAGGAAAUGGAAUGGGAUUAAGAUAGAAUAGAGAUUAUAUGAUUGCCGAAAAUGGUAGUGAUUGGUUUCCUUGAGUUUUAUUUAGUUUUGGUUUUGAAAAUGGAAGAUUCUUGUAAAAUGUUAAAGAGAGACGAACAUUGAUGAAAAUAUCCUUUUAAGCCAAUCAUCUUAUAAAUCUUUCAUAAUUAGUUUUGUAUGACUAUAUGGAAGUAUUUGACUGAUAGUUGAAUAUGGAAUGUGAUGUUUAUCUUAAGGUGACGUAUUUCCCUCUUUACUUGGAAUGUGAGCAAAUCAUGUAUUUGAUGUGAAAUUAUAUGAAUGUGAUGAUAUUGGUGAAUCCAUAUAUAUUGUUUAUUAUGAUAUGGUGGGUGAAUAUAUAUAUGUUGUUGUGAAUUGUUGGUGAGUGCAUAUAAGUCGCGAAAUGAAUUAUUGGUGUGAUUGCAUAAAUGCAAAUAAUAUUGGUGAGAAUUUGGUGAGUUGUUGUGUGGACAUAUGCAUUAUUAUUGAGUCAUAUGUUCAUGCAUACAUGACUGAUGGAGACGGAUAUUUUAUAUAUCCAAAUUGUGAUGAUUUUGGUGAUGAUUAUGAUGUUCUAUCGGCAUCAUGGGCGACAACCUAAAUAUUGGUGAGAUCGGUACCGCAUGUAUAUAGAGUUGUGUCUAGGAUCAUAUCAUGUUGUGGCAUGAGUCCUAGUUGUGAAAUUACUUGAUGUACUUGUGGUUGUACGUGAUUAGUGGUGAUGUUUGUAUUUGAUGAAUUGUGGUGUCAUGUUAUGAUUAAUUUCGUGAAUGAUGAAUAUUGAUGAUGAUGUGUUCAUUGAAUUUAUGUCGGCGAGACUUGGAUUAUGGUGUUAAUGCAUGUAUGAAAUUUAUCUAUUUUGAUUUCAUUACAUGAUAUUGGAUUAUGCUAUUCCUGCUUAUCUGUAUUAUUGAUUAUGUUGAUGUAAUACUCACCCCCAGUGGUUUUAACUGCCUACUUGCCUGUAUGGAUGAGUAGACGUUGUGCAGGAGUAGUAGCUUGGUGAGUUCCUGAUGUUGGUGGAUAGUGGGAGCUUUCUCCACUAUCGGGUCUUAGAGUAGAGUUGGCUCUGAUCUAGGGUUUUGUUGUUAGCUCUAGAUCUUGUUGGAUUAUUUUUAUACUUUGAGAUUUUGUCCAUGUGUCGGACUUGGAGAUUUUAUGCUUAUGCAUUUUUGAGAUCACAUGACAUGUAUGUUUGAUGUAUAAGAUUUGUAUCCGCUGCGACUGAUGAGGUUUUAUAUACAUGCAUGUUGACCGUUGAUUUGAUUUUGUUUUUCUUUGAUUUGGUGAAAGUAGCGACUAUUUCUUAAAUAUAUGAAUUAUUCGCAUGUUUAAUUGCUUUAAUAGAAAUAGGGUGUUACAUAUCACAUUUAUCAUUUUAAAGCCAAAAAAUAAUUUGAAAUAAAUUAAAAUUGUUAUAAUAAAUUUAUUAGUUUAAAAUGUUUAUAAAUAUAAUUCAUAUCAUAUUAAAUAUAUGUCCUUAAAAAAACAUAUUAAAAUUAAACUUAUGUGUACUUUUCUGUCAUUUUAUAUUUAUCAAUCAUUUUAAACGCUAAUUUUACCAAACACUUUAAUUUCAAUCAACUAGCUUUUCAGCCAUAAGCUUCCUGCUAUCAGCUAGCUUUUCAGCUAUCAGCUAGCUUAUAGCUUAAUUUUACCAAACACACCCUAUGUGAAUGAAGCGCUGUUGUGGUUGAAACCUAAAAGGAACGCACCAUUUGUCUUAAAGAUGGUUUGCGCCUUCGCGAUUGGAUUUGGUUCGGUUCUGAGAAUAAAAAUCAUCCGUGAUAAAAAAAAAGUGGUUUGAUUGACUUUUAAAAUAAAAUCCGAACUAAACCAAACAUAUAUGAUUUGAGUUGGACAAUACGAUUUUUUGUUUUCAACAUUAAAAUCGAGUUAAAAAAUUGUUACACAACAUAUUUCCAACCAUGUUUCCAACAAUAUUUUAAAUUUCAUCCAACAUUAAAAUUUUAUUUUCACCAAACAAUAUAAACGAAAUUAAAAAUGUGAACAAAAAGCAAGUAUAUUAUGUAAGAAAUAUUAAUGUAAAACAUCAAGAUUUUAUCAUUGAAUAAAAUUUCAAGUAGUACAUAAAUAUAUUUUUUUGAAAUAAAAAACAAACAAGAAACUUAACAAGAGAAGAAAAAAAUACACUUCAUCCGGUCCUUAUUAUAAGAAACAAUUGAUUUUUUUUAUUCAUUGCGUAAGUGAUGUAUCUAGUCUAUAUUUACAAUAAGAUACAUUAAUUAUUCUAUGAACCUAAAAAGUCAACUUUUACUUAUAAUAAGGACAGGAGGGAGUAUAACAUUUAUUAAAAGUUUAUAUGAGUAUUGGUUUAUGUGACAUAGGUUUAAUUAGCAUUUUCUUAUAUUGCGGUUUGAUUCAGUUGGUAAAAUAAAAACCGCAAAAAGAACCAAACCAUUUGGUUGAGUAAAAAGUUGAUCUGAAUACCUCCAAACCAAAUGCGUUUUUUUCGUGGUUUCCAUUUGGGUUGGUUUUGUUUAUGGUUUUUCUAUUGAAUUUGUUCGGUUUUGAACACCCCUAAUAAUGAGAAGACCUUAACCAAACAUGACUUUUUUUUGUCAGAAGAGUUUAUAAGAUACCUGCUAUAAAGUUAGCUUCUUGAUCUUUGCCAAAAGAGCCUUAAAAAGAAAUUUUUGAAUGUUGACAAGUUGAGAUUGUCACAUAAUCAUAGUCAAAAUUGUUGAUUUCGUAUGACAUAAGCUUACUUCCUAGAGAAAGAAAAUGCAAAUUUUAACUUAAACAAUAAAGGAAAGUAAAAUCCAAACUUCUCUAAUAGAAAAUCAAAUGAUUGAUGUUAAGUGGUUUCGAUUAAGUAUAAACCGUUUGGAAGAAUCUAAAUUUAAAUCACGCAUACAACAAUUUUUUAUCAAUUUCAUUUACAUCUUAACAAAACUCGACUUAUAGCAACAAAAGAAUAUCUUAUAAAUGAGGAGCGUAAUCAACUCUAAACUUUUGUUGUUGAAAGAGAGAUUUUAUUCUUUUUCUGCAUUUAGUUUGUUCAACAAAUUCAACAAUUUGGUAAUCAAGUACAUGUGGUAAUCAAUAUUUAGGUUUUAUCAGAACAUGCACUGUUAACAAUGUAAUCCAUAUUCAGGUUUUAUACUGCAAGUUGAGACCCUUAAACUUUUGGAGGUGUGUUAGCAGAUUGCCAGGUCCAGGAUGAUUGAUCCAAUCCAUCAUAGUGUCUACCACCAGCUAUAUCAUCAAUGGAAAACACUGUAGAAAUUUCUCUCAUGUCCUCUUCUGAUAGUUUCACGGCUAAGGCACCAAGGUUUUGAUCAAGAUUCUUAAUCUUAGUUGUUCCUGACAUUCAAAGAAAACGUGUGAAAUAAUGAAUAGUAAAUAGAUAUGCAUUUCCAAAACGAAACAUAGGUAAAUAGAUAAAUAUAAACACCACAAUGUACAGCAGCCACUCAACUAUAAAAGACGUAGGCACAAUUGACUGAACUCGGUGGUCAAAUGUUUAAUUACUUAUAUGUGUUUAUUUAUCUGUUUUCUCUAGAGUCAGGUUUGUCAUUCUAACAAAAGUGUAUAUAGUUUUUCACUUAUUUGAGCAAUGCACGAGCACAAAGAUAUAAAUAUAUUAUGCAGAUUGACAAAUAAGGGGAAAAAAAUCAUAUUUCUGAUACUGAUAGGAUACAUAGCUAGUAGUAUUAAGUUUCUUGUGAUAUACUAUUU
rnacentral:lncRNA from 1 species